GUGUUGUAUGAAGGGAGAGAAGGUCAGCACACCCCUCACGAGGGCAAGAGGCCCUCAGGCCAGUACAACACGCAUACGGUUAAGGCAUCACCCCUACUCUGUGGCAUCCACCCCCCGUUUUCA